GACGAACGCUGGCGGCGUGCCUAAUACAUGCAAGUAGAACGCUGAAGAGAGGAGCUUGCUCUUCUUGGAUGAGUUGCGAACGGGUGAGUAACGCGUAGGUAACCUGCCUUGUAGCGGGGGAUAACUAUUGGAAACGAUAGCUAAUACCGCAUAACAAUGGAUGACACAUGUCAUUUAUUUGAAAGGGGCAAUUGCUCCACUACAAGAUGGACCUGCGUUGUAUUAGCUAGUAGGUGAGGUAAUGGCUCACCUAGGCGACGAUACAUAGCCGACCUGAGAGGGUGAUCGGCCACACUGGGACUGAGACACGGCCCAGACUCCUACGGGAGGCAGCAGUAGGGAAUCUUCGGCAAUGGGGGCAACCCUGACCGAGCAACGCCGCGUGAGUGAAGAAAGUUGUCGGAUCGUAAAGCUCUGUUGUAAGUCAAGAACGGGUGUGAGAGUGGAAAGUUCACACUGUGACGGUAGCUUACCAGAAAGGGACGGCUAACUACGUG
rnacentral:rRNA from 1 species